ACGAACGCUGGCGGCGUGCCUAAUACAUGCAAGUAGAACGCUGAAGAGAGGAGCUUGCUCUUCUUGGAUGAGUUGCGAACGGGUGAGUAACGCGUAGGUAACCUGCCUUGUAGCGGGGGAUAACUAUUGGAAACGAUAGCUAAUACCGCAUAACAAUGGAUGACCCAUGUCAUUUAUUUGAAAGGGGCAAAUGCUCCACUACAAGAUGGACCUGCGUUGUAUUAGCUAGUAGGUGAGGUAACGGCUCACCUAGGCGACGAUACAUAGCCGACCUGAGAGGGUGAUCGGCCACACUGGGACUGAGACACGGCCCAGACUCCUACGGGAGGCAGCAGUAGGGAAUCUUCGGCAAUGGGGGCAACCCUGACCGAGCAACGCCGCGUGAGUGAAGAAGGUUUUCGGAUCGUAAAGCUCUGUUGUAAGUCAAGAACGAGUGUGAGAGUGGGAAGUUCACACUGUGACGGUAGCUUACCAGAAAGGGACGGCUAACUACGUGCCAGCAGCCGCGGUAAUACGUAGGUCCCGAGCGUUGUCCGGAUUUAUUGGGCGUAAAGCGAGCGCAGGCGGUUUGAUAAGUCUGAAGUUAAAGGCUGUGGCUCAACCAUAGUUCGCUUUGGAAACUGUCAAACUUGAGUGCAGAAGGGGAGAGUGGAAUUCCAUGUGUAGCGGUGAAAUGCGUAGAUAUAUGGAGGAACACCGGUGGCGAAAGCGGCUCUCUGGUCUGUAACUGACGCUGAGGCUCGAAAGCGUGGGGAGCGAACAGGAUUAGAUACCCUGGUAGUCCACGCCGUAAACGAUGAGUGCUAGGUGUUGGAUCCUUUCCGGGAUUCAGUGCCGCAGCUAACGCAUUAAGCACUCCGCCUGGGGAGUACGACCGCAAGGUUGAAACUCAAAGGAAUUGACGGGGGCCCGCACAAGCGGUGGAGCAUGUGGUUUAAUUCGAAGCAACGCGAAGAACCUUACCAGGUCUUGACAUCCCGAUGCUAUUUCUAGAGAUAGAAAGUUACUUCGGUACAUCGGUGACAGGUGGUGCAUGGUUGUCGUCAGCUCGUGUCGUGAGAUGUUGGGUUAAGUCCCGCAACGAGCGCAACCCCUAUUGUUAGUUGCCAUCAUUCAGUUGGGCACUCUAGCGAGACUGCCGGUAAUAAACCGGAGGAAGGUGGGGAUGACGUCAAAUCAUCAUGCCCCUUAUGACCUGGGCUACACACGUGCUACAAUGGUUGGUACAACGAGUUGCGAGUCGGUGACGGCAAGCUAAUCUCUUAAAGCCAAUCUCAGUUCGGAUUGUAGGCUGCAACUCGCCUACAUGAAGUCGGAAUCGCUAGUAAUCGCGGAUCAGCACGCUGCGGUGAAUACGUUCCCGGGCCUUGUACACACCGCCCGUCACACCACGAGAGUUUGUAACACCCGAAGUCGGUGAGGUAACCUUUUGGAGCCAGCCGCCUAAGGUGGGAUAGAUGAUUGGGGUG
rnacentral:rRNA from 1 species